rnacentral:rRNA from 1 species
AUACAUAGGCUCCAAGCGUUGUUCGGAAUUACUGGGCGUAAAGCGAGUGUAGGCGGCCUGUCAAGUCGAUUGUGAAAUCUCCCGGCUCAACUGGGAGGGUGCGGUCGAAACUGGCAGGCUAGAAUUCGGGAGAGGAGAGUGGAAUUCCUGGUGUAGCGGUGAAAUGCGUAGAUAUCAGGAGGAACACCGGAGGUGAAGACGGCUCUCUGGACCGAUACUGACGCUGAGACUCGAAAGCGUGGGGAGCAAACAGGAUUAGAAACCCCAGUAGUCC